AGUGAACGCUGGCGGUAGGCCUAACACAUGCAAGUCGAACGGCAGCACAGUAAGAGCUUGCUCUUACGGGUGGCGAGUGGCGGACGGGUGAGGAAUACAUCGGAAUCUACUUUUUCGUGGGGGAUAACGUAUGGAAACUUACGCUAAUACCGCAUACGACCUACGGGUGAAAGCAGGGGAUCUUCGGACCUUGCGCGAUUGAAUGAGCCGAUGUCGUAUUAGCUAGUUGGCGGGGUAAAGGCCCACCAAGGCGACGAUCCGUAGCUGGUCUGAGAGGAUGAUCAGCCACACUGGAACUGAGACACGGUCCAGACUCCUACGGGAGGCAGCAGUGGGGAAUAUUGGACAAUGGGCGGAAGACUGAUCCAGCCAUACCGCGUGGGUGAAGAAGGCCUUCGGGUUGUAAAGCCCUUUUGUUGGGAAAGAAAAGCAGCAGGUUAAUACCCCGCUGUUCUGACGGUACCCAAAGAAUAAGCACCGGCUAACUUCGUG
rnacentral:rRNA from 1 species